UUCACAUGUCGCGCUAGAAAACAUCGGGAUGCACAAAAACAUCAAGACAACACCGCCAAGAAGUACAAAAGCAAAACAAACAUUCCACGAAGACUGACCGAACCGAACAGAUUCGCGUACGUGUUGCUUCUCUGCCAGCCAGCUGAUAAAAGUUCCGUUGUUCCCGGUGGUGUGGUCAUAAAGAACCGAAUCGAAUACAUCACAGCUCUCCAAAUGUGAUUUCGGCGGUGGUGUUCUGCCGAUUCUUCGCUUAGUUUUAUUUACUUUUAGUUUGAUAGCGUUUUAUAGGUGAAAGCGGUGGCACAAAUCAUGGAACGCAAUUCCGUCCAAACGGUGACGUUGAUGAACAGCAUCAUCGGCGUCGGAAUCCUCUCGAUGCCGUUCUGCUUCCAGAAGUGUGGAGUUGUACUCUCGCUGGUGCUGCUUCUGCUGAGUACCUACAUCACAAAGUUAGUUUGUAGCUAUAUGAUCAAAUCCGCGAUCAUAGCUCGGAGGAAAAACUUCGAGCAGAUUGCGUUCUGCGCAUUCGGUUCCUGCGGGAAACUACUGGUGGAGCUGUGCGUCGUCGGAUACCUUUUGGGUACCUGCAUCGCUUACUUCGUGGUGGUGGGCGAUCUGGGACCACCGAUUGCGGCCAAGAUGCUUGCGAUCAACGAAAGCAGCACCCUGAGGACGUGGGUGAUGAUCGUCGUGACGGCGGUAUGCAUUAUACCGUUGGGUUUGCUGCGGAACGUGGACAGUCUGUCCACUGUUUGCACCGCUUCGUUGGGAUUUUACGUUUGCCUCAUUCUGAAGGUGAUGGCCGAAUCCAGCGAGCAGAUCAGCAAACCUGGAUGGUUCGACCGGUUGGAUAUGUGGAAGACGGAAGGCAUUCUGCAGUGCCUGCCCAUCAUAAGCAUGGCGUUGUCCUGUCAGAUGCAACUGUUUGAGGUGUACGCCACUAUGCCAACAACAUCGCUAGACAAGAUGAGCCGAGUGAUCCAGAAAUCCACUAGCCUGUGUGCCUGUAUCUAUGCUUUGAUCGGAUUCUUCGGUUACGUAGCCUUCAAUGGACAUCAAUUUUCCGGUAACAUCUUGGUAAACUUCUCGCCUUCCUACGUAUCGGAUAUCAUCAAGAUCGGGUUCGUGCUUUCGGUGGCAUUCAGUUUCCCGCUGGCGAUCUUUCCCUGUCGGGUCAGCUUGUACUCUUUGCUGUACAAGAAAACCCACUCCGACGCGCACAUGUACAUUCCAGAAUCCAAGUUCCGUCCGCUGACAGUGGCCAUUGUGUGCACCGCACUGGUGCUGGGUUGGAUGGUGCCCUCUAUAGAGGUUGUCAUCGGGCUGGUGGGGUCCACGAUCGGUGUCGCCGUCUGCAUAAUCAUUCCAGCCGCUUGCUACAUGCAUAUCUGCAAAACGAACAUCUCCGAGAAACAGCUGGCCCAAGUGAUGCUCGUAUUUGGCUUUCUGAUCAUGAUUCUUGGUACCUAUGCCAAUCUGGAUGCUAUGAAUCGAGUUCCAGAGAAAAAGUACGAGAAUGUUGUAAAAGACAAGCUUCUUCCCAAUCCGGUGGGUAUUGUAGAGAAACCAGAGGAAACUUUAGAUCGAAAGUUUGAGGAACUGAAACCUAAACUACCGGUUUUACCAGAAGAGAGAAAAGAGGAGCCAAUUGUAACGGAAAAGAUUAUUCCAAAAAUUGAAGAACCGGUCACGAUUAAGCCUGUUAAAAUUGAAGAGCCAGCAAUCAUCAAAGAAAAGGAAGAAAAGACCGACAUUUCUCCAGAUCCGCCCGUGCUUGAUCAAAAGAAGGACAAAAAAGAGGAAAUAAUCGAUCAUGAUGCGAUUCUCAAAGAAGAGAAAGAAAUCGCCGUCGAGGAGAAGGAGCAAAUACAAAAGGAGAUCAUCGAGUUGCAAAGCGCCAAAAAGGAGCUUGAAGCUCAAGUUGAAAACAUCAAAGAACAACUCGUGAAGAAAAACGAGGAAACCCAACAGUUGGUGCUGAAAAAGUUUGACGAAAUUGUCGAGAAAAUCGACCAGAAAGUGUCCAAAGAAAAUGAUGAAGUCAAACCGGAACCAGCUAAAGAAGCUUCUCCGGAUGCUCAGAAAGACCCCAUCGUUCGAUUACUUACCGAACAGGGAAAACUAAAUGCCAAAGCAAACGAAUCUACAAAGUCAGAACCGGCAAAGCCGGAAGUUGAGGUGAAAGACGAUCAUGCACAAGAGAUUAAGUUGCCAGUCGACGAAGUUGCAAACAAUGAAACCACCAAUGAAACGGAACCACCGCCCCUAGAAAAUCAUCAUAAAGAAGAGGAGAAGGGUGAACCGCUUCCACCGCUGCCGGUGGAGCAGAAGAAAGAACCGGAAUCGCCGAAACCGGUCGUGCCAGAAGAGUCAAAACCAGCCAAAUCCGACGAUGCCGCCAAAGAAAGCGACGAUGCUGGCUCGAAGAGAGAUCUACUCUCGUUGCGCAAUAAGAGAAAUAUCGCUGAGAAUGAGGUCAAUAAAACACAUGCUUUCAGCUAAAAGAGCUUCGUGCCUACAUCUAUUGGUUCCGGUUCGUCCCUUUCGAACUGCUUCAAGUCAUCUUCCCAUCAACAGAGAUAUAUGCAGUCGGAUGCUUCGCAAGUGGCAUCGAAAAGAUAUUCCACUAGAAACGUCUAUUCCAAGUGAUCAGCUGAGAAUAGCUUUUAUGGACAGUCAGUGUAAAUAGGACGCUUGAGUCAGAGUCGACACUCAUCAUUGGAGGAUGCAGAUAUGAAUUGGCAAUGUCCCACGAAAAUUUUCAGGAAAUCUGUCAAACCAUCAUCUAUUUAUUCGCUCAACGGUAGUGGAAAGCGACUCGUAACAAGUCCGUGUACAAAUCCAGCCAGAUUAACCCUCGUUUGAUUGAUGGAAAACGGAGAAACAGCUCGGACCGGCUGAUGGCCAUGUUCAAACAUUCCACCCAAGGAAAGUGCGUAACAGUUCUACGUGCCAUUCAUUAUCUCUCAGCGUGCCCUCCUGUCGCGUCGCCACCCACACGCCACGUUACCUACCAGAAGACCGAUGAAAAGUAGCCCGAAAAACAUUAUGUAAGUAUACGGAAUUAAUCUUGCUUUCCCUUCUCACACACAUGCCGAUCGAUCGAAUCGCAGUAGGCGAUGGUUUUCGUUGAACAGACGAAGUAGUUUUAUUUGACCAUUAAAAGCAAUACUGUCCUACGUUGCAAAACCUCGACUUAGGUUCAAAGCUUUUUUUUACCUAAGUGAUCCAUAUUUUAUGGAGCGUGAACCUUUAAAAAUCCAUAUGGGACCGACAUCCCUUCAAGGGCUAGUCGUCCGGAGCUGUUCUAAGAAGGUACAUGGUAUUUUGGUGGACCACCAGUCAGCACAGCAGCAGGUGGAAACGGAAGGAGAAUUUGUUUGGUGCGUCCGUCGCCUCCUGCUGACGGUUUUUAUGGCUACUUAAAAAAUAAUCGUAGCCUGCUUCGGUAGCCGCCAUUUGGGAUUUUCGGUUGGUCUGUCGGAAAACAAUGCAAUGUGCGCAGGAUGUGAGGUAGUUGUUUUUGCUGGCUAUCGCCCCGGGGGAGGAAAGUGUAUGUUUGGUACGGUUUUCAUUGUUGUGGCAAAAACAGGCCCAGCAGAAUUACUCGAACAUAAAGAUUCAAUGAAAAGCAUGUUGUUUUGGGAUACGCAACUUGUGUUGCUAGGAAGUAGAUUGAUAACAUAGAGGACGGUUAGAAUGGGAAGUUGCCGAUAAAAAUACUUCAGCAAGUCGUAAAAAAACGGCAUUCCCAAAAGGGAUCCGUAUCGUAAUCCAUUUCAGUGUCAAUAAAGUCUCAAAAAGUUUCCCAUCAACUCCGAUAUUGUAAAAGUCAUUCCCAAUUCAGCUUUUUAAAGUUUUUCGAUUAUUCUCACCCGCGCUUCCCAUCGGACUUCCAGCCUUGUCGACCUCCACGUUUUUGAUAGGACUCAUAAAUCACAGUAAUUUUGGUCAGCUUUCUUACGAACACAAGCAAAUAAAGUUGUACCUUUCCCUUUGACGAGAAUUUUACUCAGCAGGGGUGGUUCAUUUUCAACAUCUUAUCGAUUUUCACUAAUUACACCCCUUUUUUGUAAUCCCGUAAGCCGAGGCCGCUAGCGAUUUUCGAAACAGCUGAAAGUUUAAACCGAACACAGGAGACACAGGAGAGGUAAUUACUGUUUUUCGAAUAAGUUAUGUCCUUCCUCGCUAAAACUGAAAUAGGGAAGGAAGCGAGGAUAACGAUCCCUAAUUGAGCACAAACGAAGUUCGCGGGUAAUGUUCGAAACAAAAAAAAACGUGUUUAUUGCUGU